rnacentral:lncRNA from 1 species
AUGAAAAUUCCACAAAAGACCGAAAUAUAGACCUAAAAUAUUCUUUAUCUCUUCAUGUUUCCAUAGCCAAGCCUGAUGAGCUUCCGCGGAAGCCCCUUGGUCUGGAGCUGCCGGUGGUUUUGACUCCGGUUCGACCCUCCAAAUUCAGCCAAGCUGAAGAUACUCCGGAUAAGAGCCAGCUGGCCAAGAGACCCCCAGCCUCGCUCCAUAUCCAGCUGGACCAGGAGUCCAUCCUCCCCGAUCAGAGCUCUCCAGACGACAAGCAGCCGUAUCAGGACCGCGGGAACCUGUCGCCCUUCCCCUCUCCGGACCCGGUUCUCGUCCAUAACCAGAUCUUGUUCCCUCCUGAAGACGGAGGGGAGCAGCCACCACCGUAUGAACCACCCAGAAAUGGAGUUACACAUGAGAGGAACUCGCUCGGACCUGAGGAACCUUCUUUAGAUGAUUCCAAGCCUUUAGCUGCAUCUCAGGACGUUUUCUACGACGCUUUGCAGUCUGCAGAUUCUUCCUGGGCGAGUCCUGGAAAAGUCUCGCAUUCGCUAUUCGUCGCAUCGGUGUCUCGCCAACCCUCAAACCUCUCCCAAUACGAAAACCUCCCGAAAACAGACCGCGAGGACAGAGAGAGACAGUCUGCAGUAUUGACCCAAAACUCUUCGUCUGAUUUUAACUAUUCGAUUUCCUCGUCUGCAGCAGGGCGACGGCUGCCCACCGUUCACUCAGACCCCCUGCUGGAGCGCCUACAUCACACCAACCUGCCCAAAUCUGAGACCUUUUAAAGCAAAGUCAACAAAUUUUUAUUUAAAUAUCUCUCUUAAAAAGAGCGUUUUCACACCUGUAGUUGGUUUUUCUGAUCUGAAUCAGUUGCUAAGUUUGACUAAUUGGAGCGUUUUCCACUCGGUUUGGUUUGUUUUCACACAGGCACCUAAAACCUUAACGAACACCAAAAUGCGGCAAACCAGCAAACAAGCGAGCAUGUUGUCUUCACUGAUUGGCCAAGAAAGCUAUGGUACACAUCUUACACCUCGCCAACAUUGACUUUUUUAGAUACAUUUCUGGAGUUUUGCUUGUUUAUCUUGGUAACAGAAAACACAGGAGCUCCACUGACUGAAUACAACCU